rnacentral:rRNA from 1 species
CCCUUAGAUGUUCGGGGCCGCACGCGCGCUACACUGAAGGAAUCAGCACGUCUUUCUCCUUGUCCGAAGGGACUGGGUAACCCGCUGAACCUCCUUCGUGCUAGGGAUUGGGGCUUGUAAUUCUUCCCCAUGAACGAGGAAUUCCCAGUAAGCGCGAGUCAUAAGCUCGCGUUGAUUACGUCCCUGCCCUUUGUACACACCGCCCGUCGCUACUACCGAUUGGAUGGUUUAGUGAGAUCCUCGGAUUGGUCCCGGAGCGGCCUCUGGUCGUGCCGGAGUGCCGAAAAGAAUGUCGAACUUGAUCAUCUAGAGGAAGUAAAAGUCGUAACA